rnacentral:lncRNA from 1 species
CUGUUCUCAUGGAUCAGCUUAUCGAAUCAGAAAAAGAUGUGAGUUUGCUUCGCCAGAAAGGAAUCAUUAUGAACGAGAUAGAAGGGGGACGAAAAAGUGACUAGAAUCUUUAACACAAUUGGAAAAGGGGUCAGCACUUCAUACGGGUUUUAUGACAGAGAAGAAUACGUAAAAACCACGGACCAGAAUGAAGGCAAUGUGGAACAGAAUGAAG